rnacentral:lncRNA from 1 species
AAGGACGAAAAGAUGAAAAGGAUGUGCAUUGUAGGGUCUUUAGCUCAUGGUCGGGUAACGGGGAGUUAAAGGUGUCAUAGGAUCGAGUCGGACUGGUAAGAUGAGUCGGUUAAGUCUAGGGUUUGACGUGUGUGGCAAUGAGUGAGAUCAUUGUAUUGAUUGAUCACUAGGUUGUUAGAAAUGAAUGGAAGUGAAUGUGGAAAUUACAGAUGACGAUAGGAAAUGAUAAAAAUGCAUUAACUGAUUGUAGUGGCUAGUCAGUCCUAGUUCCCGCAUAGAGUAGUAUAGAGUGUCAUGCGGGCAGGCUGGUCUAGAACCACUUCACUGAGUAACUUGUUGCUCACCCCUCCAUUUCCAUUUUUUUCCCUGUGCGCAGGACUGUAAGUAGAAGUAUAUGGAUGUGG